rnacentral:rRNA from 1 species
AGCAAACGCUGGCGGCGUGCCUAAUACAUGCAAGUCGAACGAAGAAAUCUCUUCGGAGAGAGUAAGAGUGGCGCACGGGUGAGUAACGCGUGGAUAAUCUGCCCUUAAGUGGGGAAUAACAUACCGAAAGGUAUGCUAAUUCCGCAUAAUACCUUAGGAACUGCGGUUCCUUUGGUGAAAGGUUUUUCGCUUUUGGAUGAGUCCGCGUGAGAUUAGCUUGUUGGUGAGGUAAUGGCUCACCAAGGCUCCGAUCUCUAGCUGGUUUGAGAGGAUGAUCAGCCACACUGGAACUGAGACACGGUCCAGACUCCUACGGGAGGCAGCAGUAGGGAAUAUUGCGCAAUGGGGGAAACCCUGACGCAGCAACGCCGCGUGAGUGAUGAAGGAUUUAGGUUCGUAAAACUCUGUCGUGAGGGAAUAACACAAUGAAGGUACCUCACAAGAAAGGACCGGCUAACUUCG